AGAUGUUGGGUUAAGUCCGUAACGAGCGCAACCCUUGUCCUUAGUUACCAGCACGUUAUGGUGGGCACUCUAAGGAGACUGCCGGUGACAAACCGGAGGAAGGUGGGGAUGACGUCAAGUCAUCAUGGCCCUUACGGCCUGGGCUACACACGUGCUACAAUGGUCGGUACAAAGGGUUGCCAAGCCGCGAGGUGGAGCUAAUCCCAUAAAACCGAUCGUAGUCCGGAUCGCAGUCUGCAACUCGACUGCGUGAAGUCGGAAUCGCUAGUAAUCGUGAAUCAGAAUGUCACGGUGAAUACGUUCCCGGGCCUU
rnacentral:rRNA from 1 species